UACGUAGGUGGCAAGCGUUGUCCGGAAUUACUGGGUGUAAAGCGCGUGUAGGCGGCAGACCAAGUCGGCGGUGAAAGCGCCCGGCUCAACUGGGCGAGGUCCGUGGAAACUGGUCAGUUAGAGGACGGUAGAGGCGAGUGGAAUUCCCGGUGUAGUGGUGAAAUGCGUAGAGAUCGGGAGGAACACCGGUGGCGAAGGCGGCUUGCUGGGCCUUACCUGACGCUGAGGAGCGAAAGCGUGGGGAGCGAACAGG
rnacentral:rRNA from 1 species